AACGCGAAGAACCUUACCUACUCUUGACAUCCAGAGAACUUACCAGAGAUGGAUUGGUGCCUUCGGGAACUCUGAGACAGGUGCUGCAUGGCUGUCGUCAGCUCGUGUUGUGAAAUGUUGGGUUAAGUCCCGCAACGAGCGCAACCCUUAUCCUUUGUUGCCAGCGGUUCGGCCGGGAACUCAAAGGAGACUGCCAGUGAUAAACUGGAGGAAGGUGGGGAUGACGUCAAGUCAUCAUGGCCCUUACGAGUAGGGCUACACACGUGCUACAAUGGCAUAUACAAAGAGAAGCGACCUCGCGAGAGCAAGCGGACCUCAUAAAGUUUUUCGUAGUCCGGAUUGGAGUCUGCAACUCGACUCCAUGAAGUCGGAAUCGCUAGUAAUCGUAGAUCAGAAU
rnacentral:rRNA from 1 species